GAGAGUAACCCGGCGCUCUCUAGCAGCAGCUGAUAGCAAGGCCUGCCUCCAGCACUGUCAAAAAGUUUGCAUCUUGUGAAUUGGCAUGAGCGGUGCCUAUAGUGGGACCCAAGAUGGGGAGGUGCUGGAAGGUUUCUUGUGUCCGUUAUGUCUCCAAGACCUCACCUCCAUCACACAGCUCCAGGCUCACUUCGAGGAGCAGCAUGAAUCUGAAGAUAAGGCUGUACUCCAGUCACUCAAAGGCUUCUUAAACAAGGCAAAGAAAAAACUACUUAAUGAGGAUGAGCCAGACUUUGUAUCAUCAAAAGUUCGCACUCCCUUUGAUGGCGACACAGUGGAGUAUGAACCAAACAACCCGUGGAACUGGGAUCCUCCACCUUUGGGACCUUCGAGGAGUCACACGGCCCUUUUCAAAAAGAUAAGAAGUGCAAGAAUAGACUCCUUUGUUGCAGAGACCAACAAAUUACUCAUCAGAUUAGACAAACUGCUUAAAGAUUUGCCGAAUGACCCAGUGAAAAGAAAAGCUCACGAGCGCAACAUUGUCAUGUGGGCAGAGGACAAGGAUGUACCACUAUGUCCAUUUUGCGCUCGUUCAUUCAACCUGGCUCGUCGCCGCCACCAUUGCCGGCUGUGUGGAGGCAUCAUGUGUGACGAAUGUUCCCAUUUUCUCACAUUUGAUUAUGCAAGAAAGCUUGUAAGUCCAGUUCACCAAGGGAGCCAAGACGCAAUGUCAGCGUUGAGUAUUAGCAGUGGGGCAGGCUCGGGUAUGUCUUCUCUCCUCUCGGGCAUCUCGGGUCUCCGUCGUUCUGGUUCACAGGGCUCCCUUAAUUCCCUACUCUCUGUGAUGGAUUCUAUGACAGCAGAACAACAUUUUCGUACUUGCGCGCACUGUAUGACGCGCCUUCAAGCCAGAGACAGCCAAGUAGAGCAGCGCAUGUCAAAGCCAACACUUUCCCUCUACUAUGAAAAAUUGAUGGAAUAUAGAUCUCAAAUUGAGAGCCUUUUGCCACAGUUUAUACAUAUGGCAGAGUCGUUAAGAUGUGGUGAAACUACAUACAGCCUACGGGAUGCCGAGGAGCUGAGGAUCAAGAUUCUUAAGAAAGGUGACAGUCUCAACUCCAUGGCCCAGCGUGUGCGGACUCUUGGUAGCACCACAGGGCAAGAUGUGACAGAUGCAGCUGUGAGCAACGUACCUCCUCCAGGCCCACGACAAGAGCUUCUUCAACGCAGGAUACAAUCAACCGCAACAGGAUUUCUUAAAGAGCGUAUUCUUAGCCUACCCAAGCUUCCCAGCCACCAGGAGUUGAAGGAACUGCAAGAGAGGAGGAGAUUUGAAGCUGAAGCACGAUUAGCAGCAGAGAAGGAAGCAUUACGCAAAGCUGAGGAGCAUGCUGCCGAGAUCUUACGACGCCGUGACAGAGACUCGAGAGACUCGCCACGCUCCACACCGUCACGCUCCAGUAGCGUCACGCCUCCGUCUUUUGCCAGUCUUAAGAAACGCCAAGAGGAAGUACUGGUUGACACAGGCUGGGGAGCCAAUUCUUCAGCUCACAACGUAACCGAGACGGAUGAGCCCAUGAUCCAACAGAUGAAUAUUAUUAGGAAUUAUAUCAAACAAGCUAGGGAAGCAAGUCGGUACGAUGAUGUGCCAUUGCUGGAAGCUAACCUACGAGAGCUGCAAGAGGAGUAUAAAAAACAACAGAGACUCAUGAAUCCAUAGUGAACGUCAUGAUGACAGCUUAUCAAUACUCACUCAGUUUGUGUACGUGAAUGAGUGUACCGACUCAACAGUGCAUGGAAACGAGCAUUCUAAUGACUUGUACAAAGUUUUCAUCUUGUUGACAAGAUUUUUGUGGAACGCGUUGUCAGAAUUCCGAAUUCUGGACAGGGUUUUCUUCUGUAAGUACAGUAAAGGCAUAACCAGGCUGUCUGAUCUGUCUAUCCUUGUUUCUGUUAUCGAGUUUUAGAUUUAGGCAUCAUUAAGCCUUCAUUAUAAAAAAAAAGUAAAACAAUAGCGACUUCAAAAUUUGCCAUUACAUGUAUAUGCAAUUGAAAUUUUUUUUAAUAUGGUAUAAACAUUUUUAUGUGCUAUUUAAUGCUGUUAUAAGAUCAGCACCUCUGAACUUUUAAGUUGGUAGUGAAGGCCACAGAAAUGGCAGGAACUUCUUUCAUGACACCUUCUUAUCUUGAGAGGAUUUCGGGGCUUUAGUGUCCCUGCGGCCCGGUCCUCAACCAGGCUUCCAUCAAGUGAACUAGCUCGUACCUUUGAUAUUAGCGGAUGAGUCGUACAAGAGCCAAAGUAACAAGGUAUUUCUUAACAUCAGUAUUACAGUUUUAAUUCACAUUUUUGCACUUUAUAUCUUGGUCUUUUUAUACUGUACGUUAAAAGUACAGUGCUAUAGCCUGGUAAGUGAGUGUCUAGUGAUGUGCUCGUAAAAAAUGUGUGUCAAAUGGAAAGGUAAGUGUUUUUUAUGUGAGAAAAAGUGCUGUUUUCUAGGGGUAACUGCAUUAUAUGUGUGAGAAAAAGUGCUGUUUUCUAUGGUAACUGCAUUAUGUGAGAAAAAGUGCUGUUUUCUAUGGCAACUGCAUUAUAUGUAAGAAAAAGUGCUGUUUUCUAUGGUAACUGCAUUAUAUGUGAGAAAGACCUGUUUUCUAGGGUAAGUGCAUUAUAUGUGCAAACAUAGGCAGGCAAAUUUGGGGAAGGUGGCGUGUGUGUUCGCUGUCCUGGAUCGUAGCCGGGUUGGUUCUCACCACUGACCAAUGCCUGUAUUCCAUACUAAGUACGUGGUUAUAUUUCAUAAAUAAUGUAAAUAUAUUUUGAUCAAUCGUUGAUUUGGCUGGGCUUCAUUGAAACGUUUACCUCGGAAGAUAGGGAAGAGCGGUAGCUCUGCAUACAUCAAUAUUAGAGUUGAAUGUUGUAUUCGACAAGGUGCUUGCAUAUGCAGGGUUGUCAUUUUAAAGCAACUAAAAAUCAAUUUUCCCAUUGUGCUUUCCCAUGUUUAUUUUACUGUCAUGCCUUCCAUCAUCUUUAUAUAUAUAUAUAUAUAGAUAUAUAACAGUGAAAGGACUCGUCGUUAUGAAAUGCACUUUCAGUUAUUUAAUAUCAUCUUCGUAUCGUGUGUGUGUGUGUGCGUGUGUACUCACCUAUUUGUGCUUGCGGGGGUUGAGCUUUGGCUCUUUGGUCCCGCCUCUCAACUGUCAAUCAACUGGUGUACAGAUUCGUGUGUGUGUGUGUGUGUGUGUGUGUGUGUGUGUGUGGGGAUUGUAGCAAUGUGAACAUGUCUGUGAUUCUGUGCACCUCUCUUCCUCUAUGUGCUGGUAGUGACAACCCAUCAAGCAUGUGCACUAUUAUAGUAAGAACAUAAUCUAAGGAAAGUAAGACUAUGCAAAUUAAUUUUAAAGUCAGAUUAAUUUUCAAAGUCAAGUAAUAAUGGUAUCCUGAAUAAACUUCAUGAUUGAUUCCAAAUUCACUUUCUUCUGUAUAAAUCUUUUUUUUUUUUUUUGUUAUAUAGUUUCACUUAAUACUUAUUGUUGAUGUACAUUAUAAAUUAUGCAGGCGAUGAGUCACAAUAACGUGGCUAAAGUAUGUUGACCAGACCACACACUAGAAGGUGAAGGGACGACGAUGUUUCGGUCCGUCCUGGACCAUUCUCAAGUCGAUUGAUAAAUUAUGUAUAUGCAUAUAUGUAAUUUUUCAAUGUACAGUAUAUAAAUAUAUAAUAUAUAUAUAAUACUGUAUAUAUAUAUACUUUUUUAUUGCAUGCACGCACAUUCGCUCAGUCCCAUCCAUCACACUUCAUUCAAAUAUUAUUUAAGAAUCUAAACAAGAAAUCUUUCUGAAUGCUGUUCAAAGGCUAAGUAACACUAGUUUUGGAGUAUGCAGCACCAGCAUAGAGCCCCUCAUCUUAGGAAACACAAAACAGAAGAAUUAUAUAAAAGCUCAUUGAUUGAUAAUGAGACUUACUAGAAAUUUGAUAUUGAAGCUGUUAGUAUAGGCUCAAAAAAGCUAAAACUUCAAACACUGGAAUAGAGAAGAACCAGAGUAGGCCUAAUUUUGACAAAAUACUAAAUCAUAGAUGUCAUGAACUAAGACUGUGCCAGAUAAAGUCAUUGAAGGAAACUACUGGCCUAGUUGAGCCACAGGGAAAUUAGUAAAUAUGCAUUCAGUGAACCGUCGUACACUAAUUCAAAUUUUACGAUGAAUUUGACGUCGCAUGCCAAAAACUUCAUACUCUAGGGCAGUCGUCAACCGAGAUUGAAAGGUGGCAAUGGACAGGAUGUACAGUUCAGAAUUUAGCAUAUGACAGUGAAAGUUAUGAGAAUAGUUGACUCCAGAUUCUUGAAUGUGAAUAGUCGAGCCCAAGAAUUGUUCCUGCUUGUAUGUGCUAUUAGGUAUGCACUAUUUGAUAAGCAUUCACUCAUUCUGUACAUACAUCAACAUAAAGCAAUGUAAGGUCACAUAAUUAGAAUUUGGGUAUACCAAAGAUUACUGUAUUGAAAACUCGUGAAAUGUUUUUUGCAUCUUUAUAUAUAUAUACUGUUUCUGACAUAACAAAAUACUGUACAACUUUAUCAAUUGUGCCUAAACUAAUUUUAACAUUCUUUUACUCUCCUCUGCUUCUUACAACAUAUUAUAUGACAUGUAAUACAAUUAAAAAAGUGCUGAUACAGUGUUUCUUGUAUUUAAGUACUUUUCCUAGAUGAUAUCUUCAACAUUCCAAGCACCAAAUAUCAUAAAUUGUUUCCAUACUUUAUUACCUUCUUAUUUAACAUGAUCAAAGAUAUAAGCCAUCAUCUUUAUUUACUGAUUAUUAUUGUUUGUAUGAUGUGAUUGAGUUGUAUGACUGCAAAGAAGAAAAUAUAAAUUGUGAAACCUGCAAUGAAUAAAUUGUAAAAGGUUGAACUUCAUUUGAGGAAAUUAAAAAAUUUGUGAUGUAUACA
rnacentral:misc_RNA from 1 species